rnacentral:rRNA from 1 species
GAUGAACGCUGGCGGCGUGCCUAACACAUGCAAGUCGAGCGAGAAGCCAUAAAAGGACACUUCGGUAGAAUUAUAUGGCGGAAAGCGGCGGACGGGUGAGUAACGCGUGGGAAACCUGCCUUUCACAGAGGGAUAGCCGAAGGAAACUACGAUUAAUACCUCAUAAAGCAAAAGCUUCGCAUGGAGCGAUUGCCAAGGAAUAAUCGGUGAAAGAUGGUCCCGCGUCUGAUUAGUUAGUUGGUAAGGUAGCGGCUUACCAAGGCGACGAUCAGUAGCCGGCCUGAGAGGGUGAACGGCCACAUUGGAACUGAGACACGGUCCAGACUCCUACGGGAGGCAGCAGUGGGGGAUAUUGCACAAUGGGCGAAAGCCUGAUGCAGCAACGCCGCGUGAAGGAAGAAGGCUUUCGAGUCGUAAACUUCUGUCCAAAGGGAAG